rnacentral:rRNA from 1 species
UACCAGCACCCCGAGUGGUCGGGACGAUUAUUGGGCCUAAAGCAUCCGUAGCCGGUUCUGCAAGUCUUCCGUUAAAUCCAGCCGCUCAACGGAUGGGCCGCGGAGGAUACUAUAGGACUAGGAGGCGGGAGAGGCAAGCGGUACUCAGUGGGUAGGGGUAAAAUCCUUUGAUCCAUUGAAGAACCACCAGUGGCGAAGGCGGCUUGCCAGAACGCGCUCGA